UUUGUGCAGCUGUGUGGCACUGAUGAGUGCCGGGAGAAGAAUGUCGGGUGUGAGCCCCUGUGCAGUAACACUCGAGAGUCAUACUACUGCCAGUGCCGGCCAGGAUACUGACUCAUCAGGAAGUUCAACUGUGAAGACGUUGACGAGUGCGUGGAGUCGCCCAGAUCCUCUCCAUGCGGGACCAUCCAUUUUCACUGUACAGAUGUUUGUCGGGUUCCUGAAGAUGCGUCGACGUGUUAUCAUCCACACAAGCUUCCUCAACCCACCCAGUGUACCACAAGACAACAGGCACUGAGGUGGACAGGAGCGCGCGGCUGCAUGCACCAUUGAACAGGACGGUAUUAUAUUCCUCCCAUAGGAGUAUGACUACAGCGAAGCAAGCACAGAAUGAAGUGUUGAGUGAUCAUGAUGAUUCAGUACUACUAACACCAAAGAAGAGAGGGAAGUGUUUGGAGUGAGCGUGCAAGACAUACAACAGCCACGAGACUGCUACUGCCGGUGUAGCCAAAGGAACAAGAGCAGCAGGAGAAGGAGGAAGAAGAGGGUGAUUCUUGUAUAACGUACCAGUGAAGUUCUGAAGGUUGGCCACGAAUUUUCAUCACUGGUGUAGUUGACCAUUUGUAGAUUUGGGGGAUAAAUUUGUAGAUUUUGUACACAGUUGUAGAUGGUAAGGUUUUUUGCAAUGCUUUAUGUACACCAGCAGAAAACCGUGGUAUGUAGAAGUUGUGCAUAGCAUUGUGAUAGGAAUGUGCAUGUAGUGUACAUAUGUAUAUUGUAUUUAAAAGAGGAGAACGUAGACCAACAGAGGAAAGUAACCUCUUGGGACACGAGUCCUCUACUCAUCACUCAUCAUUCCUGUCACCUAUCAUGAUCAUUUAUGCCUUAAGGACCAAAUGACAAACGUGUUCACUCCAUGUUGGAAUUCACCACGUAUUGAGUGAAGAUAACGUUCCUUGUUAGGAGACGCCAUCUUCUUAGUGAGGGAGUGUAGCGAGCAUACUGGCUAGUCACACAUCAACAGCUGUGCGUCGCGGUGGAUGACACGAUGUGUCUUGUUGCCAGGCCAUGACAGUAGAUUAGUACCAAGUAGUAGUUGUUAAGGGUAGUAGUAGUAGUGGAGUGCUUCUCACCCUAUUGGAAGGUGUGGUGUAGACAUGGCUCUGUCUGUAGUGAUCACAAGAACGUGUUCCUUCUUUUGUGUCUCGAAGAUAGACAACAAAAGUGUCGUUUUUUAUUUUCUGGGGUGAAGCACAAAGGUAUUGUUACGUGUUUCCAAAGAUGAUGUUUUGCGAGUCUUUCAAUGCAAUAUUUGAUUUAAGUUUCUGGCCAAUGUUUUAUCACGUACUGCAGUUUUUGUUACUUAUAUUUAUUUUUUAUUCCUAUUGAUAUGACGAUGUGUUGUGAACGAUACUCCUAUAUAUUUCUAA